ACACAUGCAGUCGAACGGACCCUUCGGGGUUAGUGGCGGACGGGUGAGUAACACGUGGGAACGUGCCUUUAGGUUCGGAAUAGCUCCUGGAAACGGGUGGUAAUGCCGAAUGUGCCCUUCGGGGGAAAGAUUUAUCGCCUUUAGAGCGGCCCGCGUCUGAUUAGCUAGUUGGUGGGGUAAUGGCCCACCAAGGCUACNAUCAGUAGCUGGUCUGAGAGGAUGACCAGCCACAUUGGGACUGAGACACGGCCCAAACUCCUACGGGAGGCAGCAGUGGGGAAUCUUGCGCAAUGGGCGAAAGCCUGACGCAGCCNUGCCGCGUGUAUGAUGAAGGUCUUAGGAUUGUAAAAUACUUUCACCGGUGAANAUAAUGACUGUAGCCGGAGAAGAAGCCCCGGCUAACUUCGUGCCAGCAGCCGCGGUAAUACGAAGGGGGCUAGCGUUGCUCGGAAUUACUGGGCGUAAAGGGAGCGUAGGCGGACAUUUAAGUCAGAGGUGAAAUCCCGGAGCUUAACUUCGGAACUGCCUUUGAUACUGGGUGUCUUGAGUGUGAGAGAGGUAUGUGGAACUCCGAGUGUAGAGGUGAAAUUCGUAGAUAUUCGGAAGAACACCAGUGGCGAAGGCGACAUACUGGCUCAUUACUGACGCUGAGGCUCGAAAGCGUGGGGAGCAAACAGGAUUAGAUACCCUGGUAGUCCACGCCGU
rnacentral:rRNA from 1 species